rnacentral:lncRNA from 1 species
AUACGUGAACAGAUAUGGGCUAGGGAAACAUAAAAAUUAAAUAACUUGAGUGGGUCAAUAAAAAGGUUAUUCUGUUUCUUUCAGGGUUUUUGAGGAUUAUAAUGAAUAAAACAGAACCAGAGAAGUUACGAAGCAUGUGUUUAUCACUCAGCAAUAGAGAAUUUUAAACAGAUCUUCAGGCUCGUGUGGAAAAACCGAUAAAAUAGAAAAAGCAAUCGGAAGAAUAUAAAAAUCACUGAUAAUC